AUAAAUCGUUCCGCGGUAUACUGC
rnacentral:siRNA from 1 species